CGAGUUUGAUCAUGGCUCAGAGUGAACGCUGGCGGCAGGCCUAACACAUGCAAGUCGAGCGGCAGCGCGUCCGACCACCCUCGGGUGGUCGGAUGGCGGCGAGCGGCGGACGGGUGAGGAAUGCAUCGGAAUCUGCCUCGUUGUGGGGGAUAACGUAGGGAAACUUACGCUAAUACCGCAUACGACCUACGGGUGAAAGUGGGGGACCUUCGGGCCUCACGCGAUGAGAUGAGCCGAUGCCGGAUUAGCUAGUUGGCGGGGUAACGGCCCACCAAGGCUACGAUCGGUAGGGGACCUGAGAGGGGUAUCCCCCACACUGGUACUGAGACACGGACCAGACUCCUACGGAAGGCAGCAGUGAGGAAUAUUGGACAAUGGGCGCAAGCCUGAUCCAGCCAUGCCGCGUGCAGGAUGAAGGCCCUCUGGGUUGUAAACUGCUUUUCUACGGGAAUAAACCCCUUUACGUGUAAAGGGCUGAAGGUACCGUAGGAAUAAGCACCGGCUAACUCCGUG
rnacentral:rRNA from 1 species